UACGAAGGGGGCGAGCGUUGUUCGGAUUUACUGGGUGUAAAGGGUGCGCAGGCGGACUUAUAAGUCAGUGGUGAAAUCUCACAGCUUAACUGUGAAACUGCCUUUGAUACUGUAGGUCUUGAAUUAGGGAGAGAUUCGUGGAAUUCCGAGUGUAGCAGUGAAAUGUGUAGAUAUUCGGAAGAACACCAGAGGCGAAGGCAGCGAAUUGGCCCUAUAUUGACGCUCAGGCACGAAAAGCAUGGGGAUCAAACAGG
rnacentral:rRNA from 1 species